UACGUAGGGGGCAAGCGUUGUCCGGAUUCACUGGGCGUAAAGCGCGUGUAGGCGGCGCGUCAAGUCGGGUGUGAAAGCCCGGGGCUCAACCCCGGGAUGCCGCUCGAAACUGGCGUGCUUGAGGACGGAAGAGGGGAGUGGAAUUCCUGGUGUAGCGGUGAAAUGCGCAGAUAUCAGGAAGAACACCCGUGGCGAAGGCGGCUCUCUGGUACGUGACUGACGCUGAGACGCGAAAGCGUGGGGAGCGAACAGG
rnacentral:rRNA from 1 species